UACGUAGGGGGCAAGCGUUGUCCGGAAUCAUUGGGCGUAAAGAGCGUGUAGGCGGCCCGGUAAGUCCGCUGUGAAAGUCAAAGGCUCAACCUUUGAAAGCCGAUGGAUACUGCAGGGCUAGAGUGCGGAAGGGGCUACUGGAAUUCUCGGUGUAGCGGUGAAAUGCGUAGAUAUCGAGAGGAACACCUGCGGCGAAGGCGGGUAGCGUGGGCCGACACGUGACGCUGAUGCGCGAAGCCAGGGAGGCGAA
rnacentral:rRNA from 1 species